rnacentral:rRNA from 1 species
GACGUAGGGCGCGAGCGUUGUCCGGAUUUAUUGGGCGUAAAGAGCUCGUAGGCGGCUUGUUGCGUCGACCGUGAAAACCCGGGGCUCAACUUCGGGCUUGCGGUCGAUACGGGCGGGCUAGAGUUCGGUAGGGGAGACUGGAAUUCCUGGUGUAGCGGCGAAAUGCGCAGAUAUCAGGGGGAACACCGGUGGCGAAGGCGGGUCUCUGGGCCGAUACUGACGCUGAGGAGCGAAAGCGUGGGGAGCGAACAGG